GAAGGCAGAUGCUUAAGUGACUGACUGAACCACCCAGGUGCCCCCAAAAUAUUAAAAAUCUUCAGGAAAACAAAUGAUAGAAAUGUGGAUGGGCCCUGGAAUUUGAUACACAAAACAUGUAUUAUUGAGUGUCCCACUUUGUGCCCAACACUGUGCUGGGUCCUGAGGAGAGUGUGAAAAAUAGAGAAGACAAGGCAAGGCAUCUGCUUUCUGGAAGUUAAGUUACAGGCAGGAAGACAAAACACCCGCGUGAAAUAGUUAACAAUAGGAGGUAGAUUGAGAUGAAGUGAAUGGUGCACAUUCAGGGAAUCCUGAGGAAUCGCGGGGACUCGUUUGAGGCCUUGCGUACCAGACAGGGACCUGAGAACUGAUUUUUAGGCCUUUGGGGAGCCACAGGUGUGCCAACCUCUGCCAUUGUGGGCCAGUCAUUCCUUCCUAAGACUCACGGUCCUUUUACCUCCUGCUUAAGGUCGUCUUAGAACUUUGAGUCAGCUGUAAAUCCCUGCUCUAAGGGAAGGAACAGCCUUUGACCUCUGCCGAGGGAGGGGGAACACCGCCACCCAGCCCAGCUUCUCCUUGGGUGGCCUGCAGGUGGGCAAAGCAAUAAUGAUGUGCAUCUUGGAGCCUCCCAGAGGGCCUUCCUGCCUCCCAGGUGGACCGCUCACUAAUGGCCCAGCAGGGGAUGCUAACAGCAUCAUCUUCUCUGGUCCCUGGCCUUACCCAGCAGUCCUCACUAUUAUCUAAGAGUCCAUGUAAGCCAGCCAGGCCCCCGCCCCCAUCUUUGACCCUGGGCCAGAGCAAUUCCGGCCCCUCAGUGACUCUAGUGGGAUGGUUGCUGCCUAGUUCCUUCUAAACUGUUGAGCUCUUCUAAGUAAGCCCAGGGGAACCAUAUUAGAAUCUAGAGACAUCUGUUCUGAAACCAUGGGGAGGGACGCCUGGGUGGCGAGGCAGUUAAGUGUCUGCCUUCGGCUCAGGUCAUGAUCUCAGGGUCCUGGGAUCAAGCCUGCCUCGGACUCCCUGCUCAGCAGAAAGCCUGCUUCUUCCUCUCCCUCUGCUGCUCCCCUGCUCAUUCUCUCUCUCUCUCUCUCUCUCUGUCAAAUAAAUAAAAUCUUGAAAGUAAAAUAAAACCAUGGGGAAGGACUGGGGAGUACAUCAUUCCUGCCUUCAUUAAUCUAAGGUCUGAAUGGCACAGAAACAAACUAGUAUAAUUCUUGCCAGCUGUGUGCUGCAGGCUGUGCGUGUCCCCUUGAUGCCUGGUCUGUGGAGCAGACCUCACUGCACCCCACGUUCCUGGGUCACUGAGUUCCUCAUUUUCUAUUACCCCAAGUGACCAAGUUCAGGUGGACACAAUACCAGUGCUCUGAAGCACAAAACAGGAUAGCUUUGAUGAACAAGAAUUUCACGAAACUCCCUGUUCUCCAGUUUCCUCUGUUUUCAGCCGGGUGUGGGGGGAAGCAGGGUUUGACUCAGAAUGAGGGGAAGUGGGUUUGCCUGACUGUUGGCCAAACCUGCUGGAAACUUGCAUCUGCCUGAACCUGCUGGGAAGGGCAGUGGGUCCUGGGAGGUGUUUGGGAUGUAGGUUCCCAGCCUGGGGUCAUGUGACUGGCCUUACUCAAGCAGAGCAUUUAUCGGGCACCUACCAUGUACUAGGCAUUGGGAAUACAAAUAUGCCUUAGACCAGGCUCCUCUUUAGAAGAGCUAAUGGUCCCUAGGGGAAGAAAGGCAUGAAAACAGAGUUUUAGUAGCAUUGUACCCUGAAGUUGUGUGCACAGAUGCUGUGGAAGAGAACGGCCUGUGGGUGCAGGGUAGCCUCUCUGGAGCAGGGACCUCUAAGCUGAGCUUGCUAGGUGAAGAAGGUGUAAAAGGAAUUCUAGCCUCAAAACAGCCAUCUGAGGUAUGGACUGCUUUAUUAAGGGGUUCAGAGAAGUUGACUAACUUGUCCAAGAUCACACAACUCGUAAGUGGUAGAGCCAGGAUCUGAACCCUGAACACUGAAGACUCGGUGCUCACAAGCCUCGUGAAGAACUUGAUUUCUUUUCAAAGGUGAGAGAGUACCAGAGCAAGGUAAUCGGCGGGCAAGCAGCACAGUGAAAGCUACCGGAAUCCUACCUGGAUGGAGAUAGAUCCUAGCUUUCGGUCUCUGGAGAGUUUCCACUCUAACCCAUACCUUCAGCCAAAAUGGAAGUCAAGAUGGAGACACGGAAUGGGAUUAUUAAUGACAACUAGGACAACUCCAAAUAAGGGGAAAGGGAGCGUCUCCACCUCCCCUUCUCCAUUAAAUCAAACAUCAGGCACCAAUGGAGGGUCGACUCUGCUGUGUGCCCAGCCCUUAGCAGUAAGAUAGACUUGAGUCUGAAGCCUGGAGCAAGUUCCUUAACUUCUCUAAGCCUGUAUUCUCCUCUGUCUGGGGAUAAUAGAACCAACCUUUAAGGGGAAUAACAUGAUUAAUGCAUGUGGAGUGCUUAAUAGUGGGCAUAUGGCAAUUGGUAAAUAAAUAAGAGCCAUUAUCAUGAGUAUUUAAAAUGCAUAGUUAAAAGCUAAACCUAUUUUUGUAGAGAAGUGGCAAGGUUUUAAAAAGGAGGCAGAGCUCACUGUGGCUGAGGUGGUCAGGAAAUCAGUGGGUCUGGAGCUGGAAGAACUGGGGACAGGGAUUGCUGGAAUCUGAAGGUAGGGAUUGCUGGAAUCUGAAGGUGGGGCCUGCCUCAUCCUCACCUUCAACCCGGGGAAUAUGUCUGCCAUAUUAUCUGUUCCCAAAGAGUCCAAGAUGCCUUCAUUGUAAUUCUUUAUGAUCUUCAGAGCAGGAUCUUCGUUCUUGUAAGAGGAGUUGAAGCAGAUCAAGCAGAUUAUGUUGGUCACCGCCAGGAAGAGAGGCAAGGACAAAUCUAUGGACUGUCCAUUCUGGGUGGCCAGGAAAUCACACAAUAAACUGUUUUCCUGACAAACUGGGAGGAGAGAGGGGGCAAGACAGCGGGGAGUUAAGCAGCACCCUCCCUCCUUCCCAGUUCCAUCUUAGCCAGGGACAUAGAGCAGAUGGCCACUAGAUGGCAGCAGCAGCCAAGAAAGCACCAGAUUGAGCCUUCCAUUGUCCCUUUCCAGCCCCUUCUCCCUCCAGCAGCCCCAGGGGCUGGCCAGCACUCACUGAUCUUCUCUAGCCUCUGGUCGCCAUCCUUGAACAGGGCAAAGGUGGCCAGUACCAGCUUCCUAUGCAGCUGCCAGUUGGCACCAUGGUCUGCGAAGGCGAUGCCCUUUUGGUUGUCAGACAGGAUGUCCAGAGUCACCUUUGGAGAGCAGGAAAGGCUGUAAGAAUCAGACAUCAAUGACCCACCCUUGCCCUGGGCCUCCUGUACCCUUCCUGAGGGAGAAGGCAGGUACCUACCAUGCUGACACCCAUGUGGGACACCCUUGCUCUACUCUGCCAUGACCGUUAGGCCUUGGUAGGGCAGGGCCCGAGACCCCCCUACUCCCAAUUCCAUCAGAGAGACAGACUAAGGAGAAAAAAGGGACCCCAGAUGAGAAUGCAGGGGUUCUGGGGUUCAGUUCAAUAACAGGAUGACCUCUGGGCCUCUCUUACCAGUUUCUGACCAGGGGAAGGCAGCCGCGGAUGGGAUAAGCUCUCUGAAUGGUGCCUGUCCUGGGGGCAGGAGCAGGUGGGCUUGGAGGGACAGGACUGCCCAGAUGUCUGCCUUUCCCUGGGCCCUCUGGGGGGUGCUGCAGGUGUAGCAGCUGCUCCUCUUUCUGCCCUUCCAUUGCAAGGCUGCGUGCCCACCAUAAGGCCCCACCUGGAAAAUGCAAUCUGGACUUGGCCAAGCCACCUCUUCCCAGAGCGACUUCAAGGCAUCAGACUUCAAAGCCUCCCCUCUUACAUCCUGUGGGCUGCAAGCUCCAUCUGACUAGCCUCCUCCUUCCUCUUUGCUCAGGAGGUUUGAGAGUGAGGCCGUUGGCCAGCAGACCUAGCUGACUUGUCCAAGGAAAAAUGAAUCAACCUUGGCCUGAUCAGAGGUAAGUGACUGGGGGGGUCCUGCCUGGGGUGUUCAAGGGGGUACUCAGUAGCAAGAUGCUGGGAUGGGGCAUUGGCAGUAUUCCCAGACGUCUAGCUUCUCUCCUCCCCCAGGAGCUUUACAGAAGGCUUGGCAGGAUAGAUCACCAGCAUCCUUGAGAUGCCACCAUGUGUCAGCCUUCCUGUGAGCCCGAGCAGCCGGGGACAGCUCCAGAGAAACAGCAAUCCCCGCCCUCCAAAAGCCAGGGUACUUCGCUCUCACACCUUCCCAUAGAAGACAGUCAUUUUAGUCCCAUUUGCCGUAUGACGAGUAGCACUCCUAAAGGCUAUUUAUGGAGCACUUACAGCGGCUGGGCCAUGGGCUAAGGGUUUUGCGUAGAGUACCUCAGUUAAUUAGGGAAGCAAGACUCAGAGAGCACAUCAUCCAGUUCCAGGCGAGAUGACAGCCCAGAAAAUGAAAUCUUCCUUUGAUUCUUCCUGCCUAGUUUAGAGGCUGGGUGGGGUCCGAGGGGUCAAAUCCCCACCCACGGUCCUGUUAGUCUGUUUUAGGAAGAAUUACAGGAGCUAGAAGGGUCAUUCCAGGCAUGGUCUUGGCUGACAAACUGCAACCCCCCCGCCCCGAGCUGGUGAGAAAGGAGAGAUAGUGGGUGCUGCUUACCACUUGGGGCCGCCCAGAGAAUUCCUUGCCCUUCUUGACAAGCACCUCCUUGGCCAGCUGGUGGUGGCCGACCAUCACUGUAGUCUUGGUACCC